UGAGUCUUUGACAUAUAAAAUCCGUAGACAUACAAAAAAAUUGGGCCAAUUAUUAAAUAUCAACGAGUACAUUUGAGCCCAAAUACACCUAAACCCCUUUCCGGUCACGGUGGCGGAAAUGAUAUCUGUACGGCCGACAACUUGAACCUCGCUUUCAUUAUUUCCUUUCUACAAACAAAGCAGCUCUUUGUAAAUGAAUCUCUUGGCAAGAAGCCACCAAGUAUACAAGAGAAUUCAGACUGCUUCCAUAACGGAUAGUCAGACUUGACUUUUUCAUCGUGGGUCAGUUUGCGAAUCGUCGUUGGCUGUACAUAAAGUUUGGAGUAUAGUUGAUGUUCUCAGCUGAGCUGUAGUUGAGAAGAAUUGCUAAGACAUCACUUGGAAGAUACUGAAACCGUGUCUACAAAGAAUGUAGGAGUCAUUAUUCUAGUGGUUAGAAAGGAAGAAGAAGCAUCUUAUGGUAUAUUUUGUU